AUUGCCCAAUACGACUUCAGAGGGUAAGUCUUUCAUUACGCCCACGUGAACAUUGCCAGCUCCCGCACCCCAGUCCAGGUGUACUUGUGCGGUAGGAAUGCGAUACACUGCCCCCCCUGCCACUCUCACAGCAAUUGAUUUCCCCGGCUUCUCCGAUGCGUUAAUGAGAUGUCGUUGAACUAGCGUGAUGGUCGCACCACUGUCUCUCAAUCCCCGUGCUGUCUUGCCGUUAACCAUGACCAGUUGACAAUGGUGUUUCCGAUUGUCUGUGGUGAUGGAUUGUACCAUGAGGGCUUCAUAAAGGGUGCCCAAUGGUUCUUCCUGACUCAGCUCCUUGGGAU